AAAGAAACUUCAACUCCUUUAUCAGCAUUUCUGGAAGGAAAUAGUCAAUGUGAUGUGCAGACACGGAACAGAACAAUCAACACACCCUAAUGGAAUCCAUACCUCAGCUGCAAGUAUGGAACUUCGUCACUUUUUAGGAGGAGAGCGAGGAGGACGGACGUGUGUGGAGCGGGCAGAUGUUCCAGAGUGAUGGAUACUGGAUGUCAGCGGUUCGGACGGUGGCGUUGUUGUGGAAGGUACCGGAGGCGUGAGCUCCAAUGUGCACAAACUGUGCACAAACUGACAAACUGAUUAUUACUUUGGUGCCUUUAGGUCAUCUGUUUCUACUAACCCAUCACUUAGAAAUCACUAUAAAGUUGGAAUUAUUUACUCAC